GAUGAACGCUAGCUACAGGCUUAACACAUGCAAGUCGAGGGGAAACGGCAUCGAAAGCUUGCUUUUGAUGGGCGUCGACCGGCGCACGGGUGAGUAACGCGUAUCCAACCUGCCCAUCACUUGGGAAUAACCUUGCGAAAGUAAGACUAAUGCCCAAUGACAUCCCACGAAGGCAUCCGAAUGGGAUUAAAGAUUUAUCGGUGAUGGAUAGGGAUGCGUCUGAUUAGCUUGUUGGCGGGGUGACGGCCCACCAAGGCAACGAUCAGUAGGGGUUCUGAGAGGAAGGUCCCCCACAUUGGAACUGAGACACGGUCCAAACUCCUACGGGAGGCAGCAGUGAGGAAUAUUGGUCAAUGGGCGAGAGCCUGAACCAGCCAAGUAGCGUGCAGGAUGACGGCCCUAUGGGUUGUAAACUGCUUUUAUAAGGGAAUAAAGUGGGUCACGUGUGACUUUUUGCAUGUACCUUAUGAAUAAGGACCGGCUAAUUCCGUG
rnacentral:rRNA from 1 species